CGUAGGGUGCAAGCGUUAAUCGGAAUUACUGGGCGUAAAGCGUGCGCAGGCGGUUCGCUAAGACAGAUGUGAAAUCCCCGGGCUUAACCUGGGAACUGCAUUUGUGACUGGCGGGCUAGAGUAUGGCAGAGGGGGGUAGAAUUCCACGUGUAGCAGUGAAAUGCGUAGAGAUGUGGAGGAAUACCGAUGGCGAAGGCAGCCCCCCUGGGCCAAUACUGACGCUCAUGCACGAAAGCGUGGGGAGCAAACAGGAUUAGAUACCCUGGUAGUCCACGCCCUAAACGAUGUCAACUGGUUGUCGGGCCUUCAUUGGCUUGGUAACGUAGCUAACGCGUGAAGUUGACCGCCUGGGGAGUACGGUCGCAAGAUUA
rnacentral:rRNA from 1 species